UCUAUUUUUGUUUCUUGCUUUUCAAUUCACAUCCCUAGACACUCUCAGUCUCCCUAUAUGAACACACAUAGAAGAAGAAAGAAGGGAGACUCUAGGAACAAAAAGGGGGCUGAAACAAACCGAAAAGCGCACAGCGAUGGCAACAAAAACAAGUGAAAAAACGCUAAGGAGAAGACAUUUUCUUCUUCCCCAAAAUGCAGCUUCCUUUUGUAUAGCUAAUCCCCCAUUGUUCACCACUGUUUUCCUCAAUUAAUACCACCACGUGAAGCCCCCAAAAAGCCAUGAAAGAGCCUAGAAACCUCCAUUAAAAACCCUUUAAACUCUAUUUAAAACCAUCAUCUCCAGCCUGAUACCUCACUGUCCAAACCUUCCGUGAAUCGCAAAUCCCGCCCAAACACAAUCCAUAAAAUAACCCUUUUAACCAUUUGCUAACUCCAUUAAACCAUCCCAUAACAGUAGCCACUAAUCACCAAAAAACAGUCCCAUUUCUGCCAUUAAAAUCGAUCCAAAAACUAGCUGAAACCAACCCAAAACAGCAAAAAAACACAGAAGCUUCAGUCGAGGUCGAGGUUCGAAGUUCUCGAUGCUGUUUUUGUUUGGGGUUUGUUUGUAUGAAAGUCCAGCUGACCUUUGUUCCUGUUGUAUCGAAGAAUAUUUGGCUAUUGAAAGGUCAAUUUCUUGUUCUCCACUUUUUGGAUUCCAGGUCAUAUUAUACUUUCUAUAAGUUUGAGUGUUUUUCUUUUUAUCUUAUCUUCUUUGCUUAAUAUUGAUUUAUGAUUGGUCUUGUUAAAAUAUAUGGAAUACAAUUUGUUUUGGUUGAUCAUCUUGAUAUGAAUAUUGAGUUUUUAAAGUUAAUUACUGAAUCUUAGAAAGGAAAGAAUCAGGGAAAUGUUGUUGCAUGAUCGAUCGAUACUCUCAUUAGUGUUAGUGGGCCAUUCAUUAUUUGUUUACUUUGUUUGGGCUCGAAAUAAAAGAAAGUGACAUGAACUUAAAAGUUUUUUUAUUGUCUUUCUUUUUAAAAGCAUGCUGGCCCAAUAUCUUUAGUAUUUUCUUUAAAUUAGCUAGCCUAUCUUUUUUAAUUAAUAAAUAUUGAAAUAGCUCCAAAUAAUCCCAAAUUCUUCUUGAACAAUUCUUUAUCAAUACAUUAGUAAACAAAUCAGUCUAUGACCUCCGACAAUUCCAACAUAACUUUUGGGCUUCACAAUAAUCUCAAACUUAGAAAGAACAAUCAUAAACAUUGCUAGUAUACUUUUAGGUACGAUUAAAUAAUUUUAUUAUCAUGGUUAUGCGUACGAUUCUCGUGGCAUAACUAUAAUACAUAAAUCUAAAAUCAAGUGUGUUCAUGGGAUUUGAUCCAUUAACUUUAAAUAAUAAUAAAAAUAUUUACAUAUACUCUACCCUUACAAGACCAAGCUUGUGGGAGUACAUUGGGUAUGUUGUUGUUAUAGCAGUAAUAAAAAUAUCAUUAAUCAUGGGUACGUGUGCAUAGUGACCCGACCAGUCGUUAUAUAUAUUUGAGUCAUGUUCCCUCUUAUGAAGCUUUCCAUAUACGUAUUUGUGGUUAUGUAACUUGCGGGGAUGGUUGGUUGGAUUUUGCGGAGGUUUUGGAUUGAUUUGGAACACUUGGUUCUUGGUGUGGAAGCUUAGGUUGGAAGUACUAAUCGAGGUUUGACUUUUAUGAAAACGCUCCUAGAACGGUGUGUGGAUGGUUCCAAUAGGUUCGUAUGAUGGGUUUGGACUUAGGCGUAUACUCGGAAUUGAAUUCGUAGGUUGAAUUGGUUCUUUUUGCCGAAAGUUGACAAUUUAAAGGUUUAGAAUUUUUCAAAAUUUCACCAUGGGUUAACUUUGUGGAUAUCGGAUUCAGAUUUUUGUUAUGGAAAUUGGAAUAGGUCUGUUUUGUCAUUUGGAACUUGUAUGCAAAGUUUGGUGUCAUUUCAAGUUUGUUUGAUAGGAAUCAAACACUUGUUUUUUAUUUUAGAUGUUCUUGAGUUUCAUUGUGAAUUCUAUGUUUUUUCGUAUUCGAUUCAUGGUUCUGGAGGUUAUUUUGAUGUUUUAAGCUCACGAUCAAAUUUGUAUGAUAUUUCUAGACUUGUGUGAAUGUUCGGCGUGGAGCCCCAGGGGCUCAAGUAAGUUUCGGAUGCAUUUUGGAGUGUUUUGAUUAUUUUAGUAAUUGCUGGUUCUUGGCUUGUGCUACAAGUUAUGUAAAUUCGAGUACCAGUAUGCAUUAGCAGUGACCGCAUUUGCGAUGUAUUUAGUCGCAAUUGCGAAGGAGGCUGGGGUGGUGGGAUUUGCAUUUGUGAAGCCAGCCUCACACUUGCGUUGGGGAGCAGCGGCUGAAGUAGACCACAUUUGUGAUUUCCCUCUCGCAUCUAUAAUGCCUACUGGGUUCGCAUUUGCGGACAAUGAGUAGCGUUUGUGACUUCUGUGGGACUUGGCGUACUUCACUUGUGCAAGCCAAUAGUCUCAUUUGUGAUAGUUGCAUUUGUGAACCCAAGGUCACAAAUGCGACUUCGGUAGCUGGGCAUGUAUUUGAGAUUUUGGGACUUAGUCUCAUUUUAUCAUAUUUUGAGCCCUAGACUCGGUGUGAGACAAUUUUAGGAGGGGAUUUUCUCACAUAGCUAUUGGUUUUGACUCAAUUUUUAUAUUUUAACAUGAUUACUUAUGGAUUUUAACAUAAAUAUCAUGGGAUUUAAAGGGAAAUUUUGGAAAUUUUAGACUAUGUUUUGAAAAAUAAAAAUUUGAGAUUUGAGAGUCGAUUUGGACUCUGAUUUUAAAACCAAUUACAAAUAUUUGGACUCGUGGCUUUAUUAUUAGUUGAGAUCUACCCCUCGACUUGGAUUUUGACCGGGCAAGUACGGAGUUGACUUUUGUUGACCUUUUGGGAAUUUUGUAAAGAUCUUAACUUUAUUAAUUGAAACUGAUUUCUCUUGCAUUGUUUGAUAUUAUUAAGUUAUUUUUUGUUAGAUUUGAGCCGUGCGGAGGUAAAAUUUAAAGGAAAAACCUUU
rnacentral:lncRNA from 1 species